rnacentral:rRNA from 1 species
GACGAACGCUGGCGGCGUGCCUAAUACAUGCAAGUCGAGCGGAGUCGAUCGACGGAAGCCUUCGGGCGGAAGAUGGUUGACUUAGCGGCGGAUGGGUGAGUAACGCGUGGGCAACCUGCCUCGAAGACCGGGAUAACAGCCCGAAAGGGCUGCUAAUACCGGAUGUGGUCAAGGAUCCGCAUGGAUUUUUGAUUAAAGGGGAAACCCGUUUCGAGAUGGGCCCGCGUCCUAUCAGCUAGUUGGUGAGGUAAAAGCUCACCAAGGCGACGACGGGUAGCCGGCCUGAGAGGGUGACCGGCCACACUGGAACUGAGACACGGUCCAGACUCCUACGGGGGGCAGCAGUGGGGAAUCUUCCACAAUGGGCGAAAGCCUGAUGGAGCGACGCCGCGUGAGCGAAGAAGGCCUUCGGGUUGUAAAGCUCUGUCUGGAGGGACGAAGGAAGUGACGGUACCUCCGGAGGAAGCCACGGCUAACUACGUGCCAGCAGCCGCGGUAAAAUCAACGUGUA